rnacentral:misc_RNA from 1 species
GCCAAGGCCUGUAUAAGGAUGCCACUACAACAAUUUGAAGUAUAUCAGUUCAGGACAAGUAAUAUAUGUGUAUGUUUUGCCUAAGAACCAUGUUCAAUAAUCAAUGUCAGGUGAGUUGAUGGACUAGCUACUUUGCAGAAAAGUAACAUGGUAGAGAUGGAUGUUGAAUUUAUCAUGCAAAGAAAGAAAAAUGGAAUGUCAAACAGACACUGACUACAAGAAAUGAAACAGACAAGCAAUAGAGAGAGAGAGAGAGAGAG